rnacentral:lncRNA from 1 species
AGUCGCGCGCCUCUAAGUCUAAAACGCGGACUGCUCCGGGCUAGCUGGCCCGGUAGAGCCCCUUCGGGAUUUGGCCGGCGGGCUUUGUGGGGACGCGAGGCUUCCCUGGGUUUCUACAUCCCUUGGCUCUUGUCUCUGGAUGACGUAUCCUGAAGAAAAUCUGAUUCCUCUUGAAGAGAUUCCUCAUGUCCUGUCAAGUUAGUCACCCAAUCUAACAUUUGUUUUUUUUAAAAAAUGACAUAAACACCUGGAUGUGUGCAGUGUCCCGCAGAAGACUGCAUAAAGCCAGCAGCUGCACUGAUUUCUGAAAACCAGAAAGCAAGGAUAGCAAGGACUAGAACUAUUUCCCAGAAGUCUCCCGAAGGGACAGAGUUACGCAGAUCAGCCCGUGCUCCGGGCAUGGCUGGCGCCCUCGGGACCUGGAUGUGCCACCCUUGGAAUGGGGCAGGACUCAGGCGGGUGCGGGCGGAAGUCAGAGCAGAUUGGAGGACGUUCUAAGGAGAAACACCAGCAAUGUGUCUCGACACUUGCAAUAAAAGCCCUCGGAUGGUCUCUGUCUUGACAGUACCUUCCGAGCAAGCCCAUUCCACAUUUGAACACUUGCAAGGUUUGUUAAUCGACCUCUCCUUCUAUGAGGCCAAACUAUGCCUGUGACUCCAGCCCGGGGGCACAGUUUCCCCCAGGGGCACAGUCCUCCCUCAAAGCCUUCGUAUAUGCCAUUUCCAUUUCUCUCGGUUUUCCUCAUUUUGUCCCACGGUGUUUUUCCAUCUCGCAAUGUCCUCAGGUCCUGAUUUUCAAGCUCUUUCACAUUCUUCCCCAUUACGCUCCUCUGGACAGCCUAUGGGUUGUGGUGUCCCUCACUAAGGACACUGUGAUGGCCUGAACGAAGCAAACCGUUGUUCCUGGUGGUGAAGAUCUUUGGGGAUGCCUACCCUUCCCAGAUUUGUUAUCCUUCUCAAAUCUGAUCAGCAUUCUGUCCAAGUGUUUAAUAAGACAGAGCGGAGGACAGAACUCUGCUGCAUGCCACUAAAGACCUUAAUGCUCCUGCCAUCAAAAAUUUCUCAGUAGGCUUCGAAUACAGGUGGACGACACAACCGAACUGUCUUCUUGGCCCAUAUUCCUCCAUAAAGAUGCCAUGAGAACUGGUGAAAUGCCUAACUGAAAUCCAGAUAAAGUCUCCAGGAUUCCUAGAAACUACUAGCCAUACCCCAAAAGAAAAAACGGUUACUGUGUGUGACUUACUUCCUUUUCUAAGUUCUUUUGUUUUUGUUUUUGUUUGAGACGGAGUUUCGCUCUUUUGCCCAGGCUGGAGUAAAGUGGCGCAAUCUCGGCUCACUGCAACCUCCGCUCCCCGGGUUCAAGCGAUACUCCUCCCUCAGCCUCCCCAGUAUCUGGGAUUACAGGUGCCAGCCACCACGCCCGGCUAAUUUUUGUAUUGUUAGUAGAGACGGGGUUUCGCCACAUUGGCCAAGCUGGUCUUGAACACCUGACCUCAGGUGAUCCACCUUUCUCAGCCUUCCAAAGUGCUAGGAUUACAGGCGUGAGCAACCGUGCCCCGCCUCUAAGUUCUUAAAUAUAUAACAUAAAUAAUAAUUCAAGAAGCUUCCUCCAGCUCGUCAAUGAAUUCUUCUUUCUCUAGCUUAUAAUUUCUCAUCCUUGGCACUAUUGACAUUUGGGCUGGAUAAUUCUUGUGGGGACUGUCCUGUGCAUCAUAGGAUGUUUAGAAGCAUCCCCAGCCUCUACCCACUACGUGCCAGUAGCAUCACCCUCCCCAAUGUGACAAUCAAAAAUGUCUCCAGACAUCACCAAAGGUCAUGGGGAGGAAUGAGCAAAAUCAUCUUCAGGUCAGGAAGCCAGAAGCAGCUUAACUGGGUGGCUCUGAGGUUAAAAGCAGGAUGUCAGCUCUGGACUGCAGUCACCUGAAGGCAUGACUGGGACUAAAGGAUCUGCCUCCAGGAGUCUCACUCACAUACCUGUUAGCUAGAGUAGUCCACCCACCCCUCAUCUUCAGGGGAUAUCUUCCAAGAUCCCUCGUGAUGCCUGAAACCUUGGAUGGUACGGAACCCUGUAUACACUGUGUUUUUCAAUCUGAUCAUCGAGAAGGCUACUGACUAAGGGGCAGGUAACAUAUACAGCCUGGAUAGCUGCAAGGGGAUGAUUCCUGUUCCAGGUGGGAUGGUGUGAGAUUUCAUCAUGCUACUUAGAAUCGCAUGCAAUUUAAAACCUAUGAAUUAUUUAUUUCUGGAACUAUUUAAUAUUUUUUGACCACAGGUAACUGAAACUGUGGAAAGCACAACUGUGGAUAAGGGAGGACUUUUGUAUUCCAUAGUUAAGUUUCUUUUUGUUGCUAAGUAGUAUCACUGUAUGACCAUACGACAAUUUGUUUAGUCAUUCACCUGUUGAUGGGCAUUUUGGUGUUUCUAGUUUUUUGCUAUUAUGAACAAAACUAUGACUCUUUGUGUACGAGUCUUAUUUUGAAUAUAUGUCUUGUGAACAUGUUUUUAGUUUUUUUGAAAUUUGAUCAUAUAUCUUUUUUUUUCUUGAGAGAGGGUCUUGCUCUGUCACCCAGGCUGCAGUACAGUGGCAUGAUCAUGGGUCACUGCAGCCUCGACCUCCUGAGCUCAAGCAAUCUUCCAUCCUCAGUCUCCUGAAUAGCUGGGACUAUAGAUAUGGGCCAUCAUACCCAGCUUAUUUUUUGUGGAGACAGGGUAUCACUUUGUUACCCAGGCUGAUCUCAAACUACUGGGCCCAAGCAAUCCUCCUGCCUCAGCCGCCCAAAGUGCUGGGAUUAUAGGCAUGAGAGACCACAUCCAGCUGAUCAUAUGUCUUAACUUAAUUUUCCAAACUCUUUUCCAGGGUGGUUGUACACCAACUACAGUGUAUGCUGCCUUUUGAAGGAUUGUGUUGCUAGAUACAAAUAGAAAGUUAUAACUCAUAGUUAUAGCUUUCUACCUGUAAGAAUCAAUUUAUUAAUCUUUUUCCCCCCAAGUGAACAAAAGUAAAAGUUACAGAUAAUCUGUAUGAAGAAAACAGUUUCUAUGAUGCUAUAGCCAUCUCCAAAUUAGAAACUGUUGGUUUACGUAUAUACCUAACUUAAAAACGUUAGUCUCCUCUUGGUUUCAUGGAAUCUCUGUUUUCACUCCUGAUUGUGAAGGUUGGAAACAAACUUCUUCUGUCUUUGGAACAGCAGGGAGAGGAGGAGGAGGAAUUCCCUAGGCUGUGGGCCAAGAGACUAGGUAGAUGGUUUUUCUCUAGAGCAGUGCUGUCUGAUGGAAAUCUAUCAUGAGCCACAUUUUUUUGUGUGUAAUUUGUGACACAUUGCUUAACAGGCACAUCAAAAGAGUAAAAAGAAAGAUUAAAUUAAUCCUUAAAUAUUUUUAUUUAACCAAUAUAUUCAAAUAUUAUCAUUUAAACAUAUAAUCAAUAUAAUACACAUUAAAUAUUUUACAUUCUUUUUUUCUCAAAGACUUCCAAAUCUGGCGUAUAUUUUACACUUAUGGUAUAUCUCAAUUUGGACACUAGAUUUUCAACAGUUGAAGUGAAAAAUGUAGCCCUACCAAAACAAUAAAGUUGUGUUUAAUGGAAAAAUAUUCUACACUGUUCUAGUUUUAAAAUUAGAAUUUACAUUUAUUAAAAAUAAUCUAAAAUUCAGCUUCUCAGUCACACUAGCUACAUUGCAGGUGCUCAAUAGCCAUAUAUGCCUACUG